UCCUACGGGAGGCAGCAGUGGGGGAUACUGCACAAUGGGGGGAACCCUGAUGCAGCGACGCCGCGUGGGUGAAGAAGCGCCUCGGCGCGUAAAGCCCUGUCAGCAGGGAAGAAAAUGACGGUACCUGAAGAAGAAGCCCCGGCUAACUACGUGCCAGCAGCCGCGGUAAUACGUAGGGGGCAAGCGUUAUCCGGAUUUACUGGGUGUAAAGGGGGCGCAGACGGCGAUGCAAGCCAGGAGUGAAAGCCCGGGGCCCAACCCCGGGACUGCUCUUGGAACUGGGUGGCUGGAGGGCAGGAGGGGCG
rnacentral:rRNA from 1 species